AUGCUGAACGCGAGGGUGAACGAGGAGCUGGUGGCGGCGGCGGGGGUGGAGGAGGGGGACGUCGUGCUGGAGAUAGGCCCCGGGACGGGCUCGCUCACCGCCGCGCUGCUCGCGGCCGGCGCCACCGUCGUCGCCGUCGAGAAGGAUAAGCAUAUGGCUACCCUUGUGAGAGAUAGGUUUGGAUCCACAGAGCAAUUGAAGGUCAUUGAAGAAGAUAUUACAAAAUUUCACGUUCACUCCCAUUUUCUCCCUAUCCUGGAGGAGAAAUCCCGUGGCACGAAAAAAUAUGCCAAGGUUGUGUCAAACUUACCAUUCAAUGUCAGCACUGAAGUUGUCAAACAAAUUCUCCCAAUGGGAGAUGUUUUCUCUGUCAUGGUGCUCAUGCUUCAGGAUGAAGCAGCACUACGCCUUGCAAAUGCUUCAAUACAAACACCAGAGUACCGACCUAUCAAUGUGUUUGUUAAUUUCUACUCUGAACCUGAAUACAAGUUCAAAGUAGAGAGGGCCAACUUUUUCCCUCAACCAACGGUUGAUGGUGGUGUUAUAAGGUUUAAAAUAAAGGAUGCUGGGGAGUACCCGCCUGUUAGUUCUAACAAAAGUUUCUUUUCAAUGGUGAACUCCGCGUUCAAUGGGAAGCGCAAGAUGCUUCGGAAAUCACUUCAACACCUAUAUUCUUCUGCUGACAUCGAGGCCGCUCUGACCAAUAUCGGUCUUCCGCCUACGGCUAGACCGUCAGAACUGAUGAUGGAUGAUUUCGUGAGGUUGCACAAUUACCUGGGAAACGUAUGA
rnacentral:rRNA from 1 species